AUUGAACGCUGGCGGCAGGCUUAACACAUGCAAGUCGAGCGGGGGAAGGUAGCUUGCUACCGGACCUAGCGGCGGACGGGUGAGUAAUGCUUAGGAAUCUGCCUAUUAGUGGGGGACAACAUCUCGAAAGGGAUGCUAAUACCGCAUACGUCCUAUGGGAGAAAGCAGGGGAUCUUCGGACCUUGCGCUAAUAGAUGAGCCUAAGUCGGAUUAGCUAGUUGGUGGGGUAAAGGCCUACCAAGGCGACGAUCUGUAGCGGGACUGAGAGGAUGAUCCGCCACACUGGGACUGAGAAACGGCCCAGACUCCUACGGGAGGCAGCAGUGGGGAAUAUUGGACAAUGGGGGGAACCCUGAUCCAGCCAUGCCGCGUGUGUGAAGAAGGCCUUAUGGUUGUAAAGCACUUUAAGCGAGGAGGAGGCUACUUUAGUUAAUACCUAGAGAUAGUGGACGUUACUCGCAGAAUAAGCACCGGCUAACUCUGUGCCAGCCGCCGCAGUAA
rnacentral:rRNA from 1 species